rnacentral:rRNA from 1 species
UACGAAGGGGGCUAGCGUUGCUCGGAAUCACUGGGCGUAAAGGGUGCGUAGGCGGGUUCUUAAGUCAGAGGUGAAAGCCCGGGGCUCAACUCCGGAAUUGCCUUUAAGACUGCAUCGCUAGAAUUGUGGAGAGGUAAGUGGAAUUCCGAGUGUAGAGGUGAAAUUCGUAGAUAUUCGGAAGAACACCAGUGGCGAAGGCGACUUACUGGACACAUAUUGACGCUGAGGUGCGAAAGCGUGGGGAGCAAACAGG